ensembl:lncRNA
ACCUCUAGAACAACCCCCCAAAUAACAAUAGUUUCCUGUGGCAGCAAGAACUAGCCUCCAGUUUACUGACAAAUCUAUUCCUCAAACAGCAUACCAGUAGGAACAUUGAAUACAAAAUUUCCUAGCUGUAAAAUGGAAAUAUUAAUAAAUGCUUGUUGCGUUGGAAGGUUAUUUCCAGGAGUAAUGCUAAUAUCAAUAAGGCCCUUUAAAAAUGAACUAAAGCAACUUGGAAAGUAUUGCUUUCCCUCUCAACCACUCUUCGUAUCUCCCCGGAAGUGGCUCUGUUUGUCCUGAAUCCUGGAAGUGUCUCUGAAUCCUGCAAGGAUUGAAAUGAUUGUCCUCAUACCUGCAAAAUAUUCCUGCACAACGCGUGCAAACGAUUUGACCUAGUUCUUGGGCCUCACCUAGAAGCUCCUGCAUGAGAGGAUCAAAUCCAUCUGCAUUACGGCAUCCUCAAGGGUCUUUGGGAAAGGCCUAUAGAAUACUUUGCUGAAGACAUUUGUUAACUGGCCACAGACCCUGAGUGGCAAAAACAGUGUGCUUGUCAGCUGGGAAAAGCCCCUCCAAAAAUCAGCAGAGACAAGCAAGGCAACCUCCAUGUGAAGCUUGAUUAGGACAUGGCUUGUAUUUCGGACGAUAAACUCUAUUUAUGAUGGCCUCCCGGUCAUUAAGUAUCUCCGCUGUAAGAGAAAAUUGGGGCUAUUAACUUCUCCAGAUAGAGCCAGGGGGAAGAGCGAUCAUUUCUUUUAUAAGCAGAAGGGAAGGCUCUGCUCAAUAAAGAUCAAUUAAACAUCUCUGUUAAAAGGCUGCUUGGGAGCUGGUGCCGAUAGAAAUUCCACCGUAUUAACCCUUGCUCUCUCGUUCCCGCCAGCCCUCCCCACCUCUGUAUCUGGAAUUGCGGAAAAUUUUAAGAGAACGUGGGCGACUGUAAGCUCUCUAAGGUGACAGUGGCUCUCACAUCCUUGGCUCAAUGAUCUCUGAUGUUGAGUGACUUUCCAUGCAUUUAGCGGGAGCAUCUCCAGAGGACAGCAGGCAAGUCAACACUCCUCUGGAUUCAGCUGAGCAUCAAUCUUCCUCAUGAGGGAGUAAAAAAAAAAAAAAAACAUAGAAACAGGUGCCCCAAAAGAUUACUUGGUGGUCAGAGCUCUGAAUUCCCAGGAUGCAGGAAGAGUUUUGGGGGCCCUUGGUGGUCCACUGCAUAAAGAACACAGUCCGAGGUCCCCCGCAAUCUCCACCAACACCUUACAUUUACGAUUUCAUUCUAGUCCUUUAAAAUACCACGCACUUCUAUUCUCUGGCCUACACUGUGUCCUCUGAUGGAAAUACCAUCUUUUCUCGGUGAGAAUUAACUGCCCUGCUUUCUGAGCUACCGUACGGUUUUCUUACACUGCAGUUACAAUAUGUGCCUGACAGUUAAUUUUUCAAACUUACGUCCCUCAUCCAAGAUGUAAACCCCAGUAACUGGUUUGAUGCUUUGCACAUGUCAAGUGUGUUGAAAUAAGCCUGCAGUUGGUCUUGGACAAACAUUAUUGCAGUCAACAUGUUGAUAACCACAGUCCUGAAAGGUGGGCUGUGUGCAUGGCCUAAGUCAUGGGAUAAUCCAGCCAGGCUGAAUGAAAAUGGCUCUAAGGGGACACAUCCAUCUAUACUUAAACCCAGAAAUUGUUAAACUUAAAAAUCUCCAGCAGUAACUUAGACAUUAAAGCCCUGGGCCUCUCUGUAAUAGUUUUCUAGUGCUGUGUAACAAAUUAGUACAAACUGAGCAGUCUGCCGUACAUAACUAUUAUCUCGCAGUUUCUGUAGGUCGGAAGUCCAGGCACAGCGUGGCUGGAUUCUCUGCUCUGCUGGGGUCUCACCCACUUGAUGUCAACGUGUCGGCCAGGGCUCGGUGUUCAUCUGGGGCUGGGCGUUCUCUUCCAAGCUUACUAGUUGUUGGAAGACUUAUUUCCUUAUGGUUGUAGGACUGAGGAUUCCUUUCCUUCCUGGCCAUCAGCCAGCCAGGGUCCUCUCAGCUCCUAGAGAUGACCCACUUUUCUUGCUAUGUGGCCCCCUCCAUGUCUAAAGCCAGCAGUGGAGACUCUUGCCCCACCUGGCAUCUUCUCAUUUUGAUUCUCUCUGACUCUUCUGUCUCUGACUUCUAGACUUGGGUUUAAAGGGCUCAGCUGUUUUGAUCAGGCCCAUUAGGAUGAUUGCUUCCUCUUAAGGUCAACUGAUUCGGGGCCUUAAUUACAUCUGCAAAAAUCCCUGCAGAGUAGCCUUAAAUUAGUGUGUGACUGGGUAAUUGGAAGGAGGUGCCUAUUCGCCAGGGGAUGGAACACGUGGAGGCCAUCUUAGAAUUCCACACUCACCAAUCAGCUGAGGUGAAAGCUUUGCUUGUCUGCCUCUGCCUGACCUCCUAAUGUCCUCCCCUACGUCAUGAGUGGUGUAGACAGAGGAGGUCACAAACCUGCAUCUGACAUUAACAGCGCUGCUCCCUGAAGAGGGAGGGAAGACACAGCCUUGACUUUAUCCCUCAAUGUAGGUGAUGUUUCAUGGUGUGGGGAGAUUUUCGUUGGAUCAAUUGCCUGAUUCAGACACAGACUUAGUGAGGUGACAAAUAGCAAGUGUUAAAGUGUCUUUUUUAAUGGUAUUACAAAUGGUCUAAGAUAGGGAUCAGCAAACUACAGCCAGCCACCUGUUUUUUGUAAAUAAAGUGUUGGACCACAGCCAUGCCCAUGCACGUACGAAUUGCCUCUGGCUCCUUUUGUGUCACCACCGCAGAGCUGAGUAGCUGUGACAGAGACCUUAUGGCCCACAAGGCCAAAAAUACCCUCUGGCCCUUUACCUUGCCUACUCUGGGUCUAAGACCAUUCCCCUAGCUCUCUGAUGAUAAGAAUCACCUGGAUCAUUUAUUAAAAAGAGUUUCUGAGCCCAGCACGGAGUCGCUGAGUCAGAAUCUCCUGGGUAGGGAGUCUGGGAAGCAGGGUUGAACAAGCUCCCAGGUGAAUCUUAUCACAGGGAAAUGUUGGUCUCAGGUGUGCCUUCCCGCCGGGUAAGGGAAGAACCUUCAUAAGAGGCAGUGGGCAUUGCCUCCAGAGCACAGAGUUCAAGGUUCCAGUGUCUAAGUCUGCGUCCCAGCUCUGCCCCUCACCAGACCUCGCCAUCUCAGGUAGCACAGAAACAUGCAGAAGAUCAGAUCACAAAUUGGAUCCCCAAACCUCACUGGUGUUCUAGAUUUUUGUCAUGGAUUUACUCACAGACUCUGUGGAGGGGUCACAUGGCCCAUGACGACAGCAAAACACCCUUAAACCCAACUUCACCCAGCUUCCGCUCCCGUGGUCCAAGUCUUUAGCAACUGCUCCGGGAUCUUUCCUUUCACCUCUGGCUGGCUGCCUUUCUUCAUCCACUACCUCCUCUUUCAUCUUGUCUCCAUGAAGACGAGAUGAAGACAGUUUGGCCAAUCAAGGACUCUGACACAUGUCUCUUACUGUCUCCUGGGUCAGUUCCAGAAAGGAUCUUAGUGAUAAGAAACCACCACGUUUUAGGAAUGGGGAUGGGGGAGAAAGGUUGUCAAUACUUCAAUAGGUUUUGUUCCUGACACAUAAUAUCUAUGUGUACCUCUCGCCACGGUGUCCAUUUUAAAAAUGGGGUCUUAUACCUAAUGUCUUCUGAUUGGCUUAUUUCACUUGAUAACACAUCACAGAUCUUCAGCAGUAUUUAUAAGCCAACCUCAUUGUUUUUAACAACUGUCUCUAUUCUACCAUAUGAACGUGCCAUAACUAAUUUAACCCUUUCUAUACAAAAUGUUUCUUUUCUCUUUUUCUUCACUCUUGCAAAUAAUCUGCAGUGAAAAUCUUCUGUACUUUUCGUUUCUUUGCACACUUAGAAGUUUAUUUGCUGGGUCGAAAAGGAUGUGCGUUUUGACAGCAGAUUAUGGGAGGGGCGAUUGUGAACAUAGCAUGGGAUCUGUCCUGAAUAUUUUUCUUCCUGACCAACCUCCCCACUGGAUUCACAUUGAAUACAGCUUUCAUUUAUAGCUUAGGGGCAGUAAGUAAAAACUGGAAGAGCUAUUUCUCUAAAAAAAAAAAAAAAAAAACUUGGUAAAAUAUUGUGUGCGGCACAAAUAUGACUGCCUUGGGAAUGACAGCUCAAGAGAGGAAUGAGGUAUUUCCCUGUACUGUUCUAUAUAAACCAUUGGCAGCUUUGGUCCACUGGGGGUCCGAGGCCUGGUGGUACUGAGGGAGCUGUGCAGACACAGCGCCACCCAGUGGCUGUCUGGAGAGGAUGGAUUUGUUUGCAGGCACUGGUGCAAAAUCCCUGGGAACUCCUGGAAACGGGUGAGGGACAUUUUACUGGAGGCUGAAGUCCUGCAUGAACAGCAGGGAGAUUAGAGCAAGUGACAUUUGGGUUAUUGUUAAGGUGACUCCAUGUGUAGCCAUAGGCUGGUGCCUGGGGCAACUCAGGUUACUGUUGCUUUUGAGUGAAUUUGCAUUUUAUGUCUCAUACUGUGUCUGCAUAUAUUAGAACAAGAUAGCGGCAAUAUACAGGGAGCAAGUCAAUCUCUGGGCAGUGCUUAUCUGACUUCAGGGACCUCUGCCGUAGCUCUGUGGUCCAUAAGUUGGGAACCACUGAGAUGGGAUAUUGAAAAGCCGAGUGCAAAUGAAAUCAUUAACUCAAUGUCAAGGGGAGCAUGCUCUUUCAAGGAAUCCCGGGGUGGAUUCUCACCAAAGGAACACUCUGUUACUCCUUCUCAAGGUCCUAAAAUGACUCCCUGAUGUAACAAAUCAACUUACCUGCAGUUGUUACCCCUCCCUCCGUUACAAGUCCCUGCCCUGGGAUGCGCCCUGUUUCCCAAGCUCUGAGCAGGCAGGUGCUCUCAUGGCCAUUAGCAAGCAGAUGUUUAUUUCUACUUCUAAAUCUUUGCCUCUGUUUUCCCAUCUCUCUGAAGUGCCAUCUCCGCCCCUUUAGUAAUUUAAAGACUUCCACUCUUCAUGCCCUUCUGAGUCCACUGCUCCAAGUCCUCUGGGCCAACUUGGGCCUGAAGGGACUCUUCCUUUUGUAAGCUACUGAAGCUUGUGUUCUUGGUGUUGUAAAUUUGAUGUGGUCUCCGUUUUGGGCAUGUCACUUGUCUUCUCAGCUAGACGGAAUUCUGACAUCAGUGAGGCUUAAUGUCUUCAUACCUCCUUGAAGGAAGAUGUUAGACACAAAAUAGCAUAUUUAUGUAACUCCCUGCAUGAUGAAAAAAAUUAGAGCCAAAUGGUUUUUUUUCGGAAACCUAGAUCUUCGUAUGUUGGAUCUGCUUUAAGUCGACUUAAAAACUUUCAUUCACUUAUCCAUUCAUCUAGUUAUUUGUACAUAUAAUAUACGAAGUGCCGAAUACGUGUCAGAUGUCAGGCACGUCCUUAUUCAGCAGAGAGUGGAGAAAACACCUUGGUUUUCCGGAACUGUGACAAAUGGGCAGCCCAUGCUCUAUGGAUGGACCCUCGCGACUUGCCACCUUGGCUCUGAAGAUGCCUGUUUCCCCCGUUGUGGUGGUGACCAGCUUAUCCUCUAUGUUCUCACCUGCACCCUAUAGACCUGCGCUGAAUGCUCACAUGAGGCUGGAUGUGGGUCUUGGGUCUAGGAGCAUAGUCUUCCACUUAGAAUGGAGUUGUUCCUGGGAAAAGCAUGGUCUCCUAUGCGGAAAAUCAAGCCGGUUGCUCAUAAAAAUGGAGCUGCUCUUCCUGGAUCAAGGAUUGAGAAGCCAGACCACCUGGAUCACGUGUCCCUAUGCUCCUGGGCCUGGUGCACUGCUCAGGAAACAUGUUGAGUGAGCGAUGGUCAUAUUCUAUUGGAUUCAGCUCUGCUUCCUCUCAUUCUGCGCUGUGUUGACUUUUUCUAUGUGACCUAUGUUUUGCUGGCCUGUGGGUUAAGAGUAGUUAUUGCUCACAGGCCAGUGGGCAACUGUUAAGUGGUAGAAGUUCAGGAGAUCUAAUACCUUGGGGGGAUUUGUACCAAUUACUUAACUGCCCGAAUACCAAGUUCCUGCAUGUGAGCUUUAUAAUAAGAUGAGCCAGGUCUCACAUUUAUCCCAAGAAGACAGGACUUAUCCAAAUCAUCUAUAUUUUAGCAGGCAGUACCAAACUUCAGGCCUCAGAAACACAUUUUAAAUAAUUCUUGCCAUGCCAUAUAUUUUAAGUAUCAUUAAAAAGCCAUUUUCUUUAAAAAAUAUGUGUGCAAUAUAUUUUAUGAAACCUAGAACAAGUCUAUGAAAAAUUGAUUAUUUUUUCCACAGGGAUGUGUUCAGAUGAUUUUCAUUCUGCUCACCAAAUGAAAAAUCCAGCGUGUGUUAUGUCCUUUAUCUUAUUUACUCUCUCUCCUGAGAAUAAUCACCAUGUUCCCAAACAAAGAGAUGGGUUGCCCGGUUUGAGUAACCAAAUAAUUUCCUGUGGUGGGCAAAGGAGUUGCUGCAGAUCUAAACUAGGAAGCGUGCAUUUCCCUUUCAAAUGCCGGAUUUUCCUGCUCUGUGCCUCCCUUCAGUCAGCUCCAGGCUGCUUCCCUGAUGCUAACUUAAGAUCCAGCUAUUACACUGGGAUGAAAAUGGAGAGCUUUGCUCAGCCUCUGAACACACGUUAACAGCACAGGAGGUCCUAGGAUCCUCACAAAUAAGAAUCGUCACAAAAGAAUGAGCCCCGUUUGUUUUUCCAUGUGAAUCAGCAUUUCCAGAGGAUUCCAACAUUUGAAAUGCCAACUGAGGUUAAAAGCAAUGGAGCGCUCUCCUGAUGAAUCCCUGCCUCUGCUCCAGGGUGAAAACAUGAUGGUGUCCAUUGGAUCUCUGCCUUUCUGGCUCUGAGUCAUUCAGUGUUUAUAACCGGAAGAGCAACAGUGGUUCAAAAGCCUGCACACCUCGAGGGUUGGGUCCACUGGAAUUUGUAGAAGACCAGUGCCCCAAUUCCAAUGCCUAAGUGCAUGGAAUUCCAUUGCCUAAGGCACUGUAUUCUGCACUGAUGAAGUGAUGGGAUACGACAGACAUGCUUUCAUGGACCUUAUCCUCCAGUGGGAAGAUGGACAAUAAGGAAAGAGAUUCAUGAGUAGAAUGAUCUUAAAAACACCGAGGUGUGAAACAGAGGCCCUGUUCAAAAGUUGCUUAGGGCCUGGCUACUUGGAGUGUUGUUCUCGACUGGCAGCAUCAGCAUCCCUGGGAGCCUGUUGGAAACGCAGAAUCUCAGGCCACACCCCACACCUGUGGAAUUAAUCUGCUUUUUAAACAAGAUCCCUGUGGUUCAUGAUUUGGAGGCAUCAUAAUGUUUAAGAAGCACUGGCUUAUGCAACAUAGGCUGUGUUCCAGGUGAGACAAGAAGGCCCUGAAACCUGUGGCUGGAUUCAUCCAGGCUCGGGAAGGCCUAGGAGGAAGAGCUGCUUGAAGGUUUAGGAAAAGACGGUAUGGAGCAGGCCAGCCCUGGAAGUCUUGGAAAGAGCACUGUGUGACCUCUCUUUGCUUGAGUUGACUUUACUGAAUCCUACCAGAAGAACCUGGCAAAUAAAUUUUACUUUGUGUGACAACUACCUCUGGCGAAGGCUUUGAUUUCAACUCACCAAGAAGGGAACCCACUUUAGUUUGGUAACAAAACCAGUUGGAGUCAGUUUGGGUAUAAAAAGAUACGCCAAUCAAGUCUUCUAUAGACGGCCCCUGUUAGCAAAUCAUAUGUACUCCUACAAAGCCAUCCAAGUUGUCCUCACGUCCUAGCAGCAAAACUAAAGACCGAAACAAAGACAAAAGAACUGACCACCCUGAAAAUGCUUAACAACAUGGAUUUCAAGAAACAUGUAAGCUGCGAACUGAGAGUGUCAAAUGAUGAAGAAGCACAAUGGAAGUUCUUGGGAAGAUGAUGGGCUGUCUCCCUAGUCCCUCUAAUUCGUGACUUACUGGGGCAGAGACGGGGGAGGACAGCCUGGGUGCUGCCUGCCACCUUUCUUUACAGGCGGGAGCUGGUGGGAGCACGGCAGCCACAGAGGAGCACAGCGGAGCCGGGAGUGUUCCAGCAAAGCCUCUCAGGGCGAGUCGGUCCGCGUCCUCCAGGCUGCAAUUCGGAGGCCGUAACGGGAAGUCUGUGCUUCUUCCCGCUCCCAAGCCCCGCCUUCCUCUCAAAGACAGAGAAUUAGUUAAAAAAGCAAAUGAAGGAAAUUCCCUAAAGAACCCUACCGGGGAACAACAAAAACAUCCAUUGUAAACAGCAGGAGUUGAGAGGGCUGGAUGAUUUUAAAAACUUGUGUUUGGACCUCGUGGAGUUCUUUUAGUGGGCAGUGGCCCUGAGAGAGACACAGGUGUCAGGAAUGGGAGUGAUUACUGCUGGUGCCUCCAGGAUGGAGCAGUCUCUUCUUGAAGAUUUGCCUUCCCUCCUCCCUCAGCUUUAUUGAGAUAUAAUUGACAAAUAAAAAUUGUAUAUAUUUAAGGUAUAUUAGCAUCCUUGGAUAUACUUAUACACUGUGAGAUGAUCACUACAAUCAAGCUAAUUAACAUGUCUGUCACCACACACAGUUACUUUGUUGUUGUGGUGAGAACAAUAAGAUAUACUAUCUUAGUAAAUUUCAAGUA